UACGUAGGGUGCAAGCGUUGUCCGGAAUUAUUGGGCGUAAAGAGCUCGUAGGCGGUUUGUCGCGUCUGCUGUGAAAACCCGAGGCUCAACCUCGGGCCUGCAGUGGGUACGGGCAGACUAGAGUGCGGUAGGGGAGGAUUGGAAUUCCUGGUGUAGCGGUGGAAUGCGCAGAUAUCAGGAGGAACACCAAUGGCGAAGGCAGAUCUCUGGGCCGUAACUGACGCUGAGGAGCGAAAGCAUGGGGAGCGAACAGG
rnacentral:rRNA from 1 species